GGGCUCGGUUUGGCACCACAUAUAGUAAAAUUGGAAUGAUCAAGAGAAGAAUAGCAUGACCCCUGCAUAAGGAAGACUUACUAUAAAACUAUAAUAAUCAAGACAUUU
ensembl:snRNA U6 U6 spliceosomal RNA